rnacentral:rRNA from 1 species
UUUAUGGAGAGUUUGAUCCUGGCUCAGAGUGAACGCUGGCGGCGUGCCUAAUACAUGCAAGUCGAACGAUGAAGCUUCUAGCUUGCUAGAGUGCUGAUUAGUGGCGCACGGGUGAGUAACGCAUAGGUCAUGUGCCUCUUAGUUUGGGAUAGCCAUUGGAAACGAUGAUUAAUACCAGAUACUCCCUACGGGGGAAAGAUUUAUCGCUAAGAGAUCAGCCUAUGUCCUAUCAGCUUGUUGGUAAGGUAAUGGCUUACCAAGGCUAUGACGGGUAUCCGGCCUGAGAGGGUGAACGGACACACUGGAACUGAGACACGGUCCAGACUCCUACGGGAGGCAGCAGUAGGGAAUAUUGCUCAAUGGGGGAAACCCUGAAGCAGCAACGCCGCGUGGAGGAUGAAGGUUUUAGGAUUGUAAACUCCUUUUGUUAGAGAAGAUAAUGACGGUAUCUAACGAAUAAGCACCGGCUAACUCCGUGCCAGCAGCCGCGGUAAUACGGAGGGUGCAAGCGUUACUCGGAAUCACUGGGCGUAAAGAGCGCGUAGGCGGGAUAGUCAGUCAGGUGUGAAAUCCUAUGGCUUAACCAUAGAACUGCAUUUGAAACUACUAUUCUAGAGUGUGGGAGAGGUAGGUGGAAUUCUUGGUGUAGGGGUAAAAUCCGUAGAGAUCAAGAGGAAUACUCAUUGCGAAGGCGACCUGCUGGAACAUUACUGACGCUGAUUGCGCGAAAGCGUGGGGAGCAAACAGGAUUAGAUACCCUGGUAGUCCACGCCCUAAACGAUGGAUGCUAGUUGUUGGAGGGCUUAGUCUCUCCAGUAAUGUAGCUAACGCAUUAAGCAUCCCGCCUGGGGAGUACGGUCGCAAGAUUAAAACUCAAAGGAAUAGACGGGGACCCGCACAAGCGGUGGAGCAUGUGGUUUAAUUCGAAGAUACACGAAGAACCUUACCUAGGCUUGACAUUGAGAGAAUCCGCUAGAAAUAGUGGAGUGUCUGGCUUGCUAGACCUUGAAAACAGGUGCUGCACGGCUGUCGUCAGCUCGUGUCGUGAGAUGUUGGGUUAAGUCCCGCAACGAGCGCAACCCCCUUUCUUAGUUGCUAACAGGUCAUGCUGAGAACUCUAAGGAUACUGCCUCCGUAAGGAGGAGGAAGGUGGGGACGACGUCAAGUCAUCAUGGCCCUUACGCCUAGGGCUACACACGUGCUACAAUGGGGUGCACAAAGAGAAGCAAUACUGCGAAGUGGAGCCAAUCUUCAAAACGCCUCUCAGUUCGGAUUGUAGGCUGCAACUCGCCUGCAUGAAGCUGGAAUCGCUAGUAAUCGCAAAUCAGCCAUGUUGCGGUGAAUACGUUCCCGGGUCUUGUACUCACCGCCCGUCACACCAUGGGAGUUGUGUUUGCCUUAAGUCAGGAUGCUAAAUUGGCUACUGCCCACGGCACACACAGCGACUGGGGUGAAGUCGUAACAAGGUAACCGUAGGUGAACCUGCGGUUGGAUCACCUCCUUUCUA